rnacentral:rRNA from 1 species
AUUUAUUAGAACAAAACCAACCGACUUCGGUCGUUGCGUUGAUGACUCUGGAUAACUUUUCUGAUCGCAUGGCCUUGAGCCAGCGACGUAUCUUUCAAAUGUCUGCCCUAUCAACUUUCGAUGGUAGGUGAUAUGCCUACCAUGGUUAUGACGGGUAACGGGGAAUCAGGGUUCGAUUCCGGAGAGGGAGCCUUAGAAAUGGCUACCACAUCUAAGGAAGGCAGCAGGCGCGCAAAUUACCCACUCUCAGCUAGAGGAGGUAGUGACGAAAAAUAACGGUGCAGGACUCAUAAUGAGGCUCUGCAAUUGGAAUGAGAACAAUCUAAAUCCUUUAACGAGGAACGAUUGGAGGGCAAGUCUGGUGCCAGCAGCCGCGGUAACUCCAGCUCCAAUAGCGUAUAUUAAAGUUGUUGCAGUUAAAAAGCUCGUAGUUGGAUUUCUGGGAGGGUGCCAAUGUCCGCCGACGUGCGUGUGCAGCGGCGCCCUUCCAUCCUUCUGUUAACGCCUCUUGGCAUUCAUUUGCUGGUGGCGGGCUCAGAUAUUUUACCUUGAGAAAAUUAGAGUGUUCCAGGCAGG